AUUGAACGCUGGCGGCAUGCCUUACACAUGCAAGUCGAACGGUAACGGGCCUUCGGGUGCCGACGAGUGGCGAACGGGUGAGUAAUGCAUCGGAACGUACCUUUCAGUGGGGGAUAACGUAGCGAAAGUUACGCUAAUACCGCAUAUUCCGUGAGCAGGAAAGCAGGGGAUCGCAAGACCUUGCGCUGACUGAGCGGCCGAUGUCAGAUUAGCUAGUUGGUGAGGUAAAGGCUCACCAAGGCGACGAUCUGUAGCGGGUCUGAGAGGAUGAUCCGCCACACUGGAACUGAGACACGGUCCAGACUCCUACGGGAGGCAGCAGUGGGGAAUUUUGGACAAUGGGGGCAACCCUGAUCCAGCCAUGCCGCGUGAGUGAAGAAGGCCUUCGGGUUGUAAAGCUCUUUCGGUCGGGAAGAAAUCGCAUGGGUUAAUACCCUGUGCGGAUGACGGUACCGGCAUAAGAAGCACCGGCUAACUACGUGCCAGCCGCCGCGGUAAGAC
rnacentral:rRNA from 1 species